GGAAAGAACCGAAAAUGGCAGCCAUGGAUGAGCUCCAUUCGGCCAAGCUUCCAUGGCUUAUAUAGGUACGGUUUUUGUCCCGUUUUUGAAGAUUUUCGUAUUUUUAAGAUCCUCGAAGCUUAAAUUUUCUAUUUCUACCAAUUGAUUGAAGAGAAAUUAGAGUUUAAAAAUUUACCCAUUCAUGAUAUGGUUGUGUUUUGAUGAUUUAUAGUGGAUAAUGAAUGUUUGAUGGGUUAAAUAUGAGUUUUAUUCAAUAAAUUUCGGUAAAAAUGUCAAAAAGGGGUUAAAUUGUAAAAGUUAUAAAUUGGUCAUAAGUGUGUGAAUUAGCGAAAAUUUGGAGUUACCAUAGAAGAGAAAAAUGUUCAGCAUGUCUUAAACCUUAUAGAAAUUGAAUAAAAAAUUAUUUUACGAGCCUAGGGGUAAAAGUGUAAUUUUUGAAAAGUUAGGGGGCAUAAUUGUAAAUUUUCCAAAUUUUGAUAUAUGAAUUGAAUUGGUUAGUGUGUUGAUAAAAUGUGUUAAAUAAGUGUUAUUUGACAUGUUAGAUCAAGAAAACAUGAAAUUUUGGAUUAAGAUCAGAGAAGAACAAAGUUGUGUGCUAAGUUAGGAAAGUUAGCCGUUUCGGCAUUUGAGGUAAGUUGGUAUGAUAAUAAUACUGCAAUAAUGUUAUUGCCUUAAUAUUAAAUGAGAUGUAAGUUCAUAUGUAAGUAAUACAUCAAUUUUACUUGUAUUAUGAUAUUUUAUAAUAAUAUUGUAAAUAUGUUUGUUGAUAAUUACUUGAUUGGUGAAAUUGUUGGAAAAGAGAGAGAAAUUCCGGUUGAACCUUCGGAAAGAUUGAAUGAUACAGAUGGUACGUAGCUAGGUCACAUGUAUGGUGCUGAGUGCACAUCAUGUAUACAAGAAAGCUACGAGACAUUAUAAUGUAGCUAGGUCGCAUGGGUGAUACUAUGUGUACACCAUGUAGACAAGAGAGCUACGAGAUAUAUGUAGCUAGGUCGCAUGCGUGGUUCCAGGUGAAGAACACCAUGUAUACAAGAGAGCUGCGAGAUAAACUGGCUAGGUCACAUGGGUGGUACUAAGUGUUCACCAUGUGUACAAGAGAGCCGAACUAUAUGAUGGGUGGAGCUAUGUGCUGAAACCACCAAGUAUCGAGUAUUGAUCCGAAGUGUUCAACAGGAGACUUACUAUGUACUGCUUUGUGAGUUUUGUGAGGAAUAAGUGCAGGAACUUGGUUAUGUGAAUGAUGUGUUCAUUAAGUGACUGGGAUGUGGCAAGGUUAUAAACAAGUAAGUUCAUACGUAUUAAGUAUUAUUAUAUUGAGCAUUUAAUGCGUUGGAAUCAUAUAAAUGGAAUAUUUAUGAGUAUUUUAAUGAUUAAUGAUUUAUCGACCAAACGAACGGCACUUAGUGUGUGAAGUAUUGAGGAUGGCACUUAGUGUGCAAGACAUCCGAAAUGACACUGUGUAUGAAGUAUUGAUGAUGACACUUAGUGUGCGAAACAUCCGGUAUAGCACUUAGCGUGCAAGACAUCGAUUGUGCAGCGACAUUUCGUGUAAGUAUGAUUUUGUUAUGGAUCGGUACAGGUAUGUACAUGUAUGUAUGAGCUUGUUAAUAAGCAUUAUUAUAAUUGAGAUUUAAUGCUGUAUAAUUGAAUUGUUGAUGAUUAUGAUUGUACGGAAGUAUUUUAUGAAAAUUUGGCAUUGGAAAUUCCUGUUGAACCUUAGGAAUAAAUUAGGAUACAAAGGGCAUGUCAUUAAAGUUACAUUGAUUUGGCUUCGGGCCAUGAUAUUGGCACUUAGUGUGCGAGAUUCCCGAGUAUCCAAUUUCUAUUCCAAAUAGUUCAACGGGUAUAUCGAAAAUAUGAAUGAGUAAUUUAGCCUUGACAGAUUUGAGUUACUGCAGUAGUGUAACUUUGAAAAUACACUAAAAAUAGUGGAAAUUGAGUUAGAGGCAGAAUAAAAUAUGGGAUUAAAGCUUAAUGAGUCUAUAUUCACAUGAAAGAAACAGAAGAAGAAAAAGAAUUCCAUAUUGUGUGAUAUUUGAAUUCUUGUGAAACAGGGUCUUAAUGAAUUCGAGAUCCCCUAUUCUGACUUUAGAAAUUCACCAAAACUUUUACAAAAAUUAUUAAGAGUCAUACCUUACAUGCAUGGAUUCCUUAUUGAGUCUAUUUUUAGGGGAAAUAAACGGCAUGGUCGUUGGAAUUCUGUACAGGAAUAAAUUCGGUUCGUAGUGCACAGGGGUCAUAGUGGUCAUACCCUGAAACAGGGGAGGCUUUAACUAAUAAACUAUACUAAUUGGCCCAACCAAAAAUUAUAGAAAACAAUUAAUAAGUAUAAAUAUGAGUCUAGUUUCAAGAGAAAUAGACGAAAACAUUAUUCGAGUCUUGUACUAUGAGAUAAUUGAACUUUAGUACAGAAGGGUCGGAACUGUCAGACAAUGAAUCAAGGGUAACUUUGAGGAAUAAACUGUACUAUUUGGCUUAACCAAAAAUUCUGGAAAUUUUAUGGAAGAAAGGAAAAUAAGUCUAGUUUCAUGGAAAAUUAACGGAAAUUAAUUCGGAGUUUCGUAGCUCCAGAUAUAAAUAAUUUAGUGACUAUGAUUCAGGAAAACAGCCUUAGCUGAUCUUGUGUAAAAAGAUGAAAUCAUGUGAUUAAUGAUUCUAUUUUUUUGAGCAUAUUUAUUAAGGAAUGGGAUAAUAUUGUUAAUUAAAUUGCUUAUUAUUAUUAAUAUUCCAACUUACUAAGCUUUUAAGCUUACACCAUUUUCCCAUUUCUCUUAGUGUUGUCAGGUUGGCUCGGGGUUGGAGAUCGUCGGAAGUAUCAUCACACUAUUAGUUUAUCAAAUUAGAAUAAUGAUAAUUCUUAUUUAUUGUCAAAUAAGUGGCAUGUAUAGAUAAUAAGUUAUUGAUAUUAGGUAAUAUUAUGAUUUAGCCAAAUGUAUAGGCUCAUUUUGCUUCAUUGUAUAUAGCCAUAAGAUUUGGCUCAUAAUGGUUAAAGUUAUGUAAACCUAUUUUAUGUAUGCAUAGAUAAAUAUCUUGGUGUGGCUAAGUUAAGAACACAAAAAGGGCUUGGAAAAUAGCAUAUGAUACACAUGGGCUUGAGACACGGCCGUGUGUCUCAACAGUGUGAAGAACACGGCCACCACACAGGUGUAUGGUCUAGCCGUGUAAGCAAGUCAGUAGCUAGCUAAUUUUUACACGGGGUCUAGACACGGGCGUGUGACCCUGCUUUGGUAAAAAAAAAUUACUAAGUGUCUGAAAGAUUUCGGUUUGUUUCCAAACCAAUUUCAAUGAUUGUUUUGGGCCUCGUAGGCCCUUAUAAGGGACAAAUUAUAUAUGUUUGAAAAGUUUAAAAUUUGAUGAAAUUUUAUGUCUUAGUUUUAAAUGAUUACAAGUACUUAAGUCCAGUAAUACCUCGUACCCUGUUCCGGCAUCAGAUACGAGUAAGGGGUGUUACAUUUAGUGGUAUCAGAGCCAGGUUUAGUUUAGUCGAUUCUCGGACUAACAUAGCAAGUGUGAGAGUCUAGUUAUACAUGCCACAAAUAUGUGAUAGUGUUAUGUCUCCUGACGCUAAUGAGGACCAUUUUGUUUAAAAUGAAGUAUUCUCCAACCGAGCUGCAUCUGAUCAUUUGAUAGCGAUAUUAAAGUAUUUGAAUAAAGUGUAGCUAUGAUGUGUUAAACUCGAAAAGGUAUGAAUAAGAGUUAGUGAUAUAUGUAUAUGUGAUAAUAUGUGAGAUGGAAGUUUAUAUAGUGAUAUAUUAAUUCAUAUUUGUUUAGCCUUCAUAUGUUGUUGCAUGCUUGACUAAAUUGAUUAGUAAAUGUGAUUACUAAAGUUAUUCAAAAUUCAUAGAAUGUAUGAGUGAGUGCACUUGUUUGAAAUGAGAUAAUUGGGAAUUUUGUGUAAGACAGAUAUGAAUAAUAAAUUGUUUGAAGUGGAUAGUAUAAUUAUAAUGACAUAUGUGGAUAAUGAAAAAUGUGUCAUAUAGAUAUAUGUGAGAAUCGAGUUAAAGGCUGUACGACAUCACCCCCUUACUGAUGAGGUGGUUAUAACGAAAAUUCACGAGAAUCAUGUUGAUUAAGUUCCUAAGUGUGGAAUCAAAGAGUUCAGUGAUAAAUUAAUUAUAGAUAUGACCAGAGGCUGAGAAUGGUUGACAAGUGAAUGACAGAGUUAGAGAAAUAUCAGAGUUGACUGAGUUAUCUUGGGAUUCAAAUUGAUGACCGAGUGUUUCUGGAAGUAUCGCCUUGAAAACAAUUAGUUAGUGAUGCUGGAAAUUAUGAGAAAGAUACUAAACCUCACUCCGGUAAGAUUUUCGAGGACGAAAAUCUCCAAAGGGGGGAGAGUUGUAACAGCCCAAAAUUAGGUCUAGUCGGAAUAGUGGUUUCGGGACCACAAACCCGACGAGAAAAAAAUUUUAUUUUUAUUAUAUUUUUAUAGUCUAUAAAUUUAUGAAAAUAUUUUGUAAAAAUUUCAUUCGAAAAUUUUGACGUUUGGGCACUUAAUUUAGUCAAAAGGACUAAAUUGUAAAAAGUGCAAAAGUUGAGUUCUUUAUAUAUGAGGUGCCUAAUUGUUAUGAGUUUUAAAUUGAAAGUCCUUAUGUGAUAAUUAUUCCUUUAAUAAGUUAGUGAAUGGAUAUUUUUUUGGUAUUUUUGAAAUUUGGUUGAAAUAAAAAGGGUAAUUUUGUAAAUUAAUUAAAAUAACCUAAUAAGACAAAAAUGAUAAAAGCUAUCAUUUUUUUUUUCCAUUCUUUCUUCUUCAACCGUGGGAAAGAACCGAAAAUGGCAGCCAUGGAUGAGCUCCAUUCGGCCAAGCUUCUAUGGCUUAAAUAGGUACGGUUUUUGUCCCGUUUUUAAAGAUUUUCGUAUUUUUAAGAUCCUCGAAGCUUAAAUUUUCUAUUUCUACCAAUUGAUUGAAGAGAAAUUAGAGUUUAAAAAUUUACCCAUUCAUGAUAUGGUUGUGUUUUGAUGAUUUAUAGUGGAUAAUGAAUGUUUGAUGUGUUAAAUAUGAGUUUUAUUCAAUGAAUUUCGGUAAAAAUGUCAAAAAGGGGUUAAAUUGUAAAAGUUAUAAAUUGGUCAUAAGUGUGUGAAUUAGUGAAAAUUUGCAGUUGCCAUAGAAGAGAAAAAUGUUCAGCAUGUCUUAAACCUUAUAGAAAUUGAAUAAAAAAUUAUUUUACGAGCCUAGGGGUAAAAGUGUAAUUUUUGAAAAGUUAGGGGCAUAAUUGUAAAUUUUCCAAAUUUUGAUAUAUGAAUUGAAUUGGUUAGUGUGUUGAUAAAAUGUGUUAAAUAAGUGUUAUUUGACAUGUUAGAUCAAGAAAACUUGAAAUUUUGGAUUAAGAUCAGAGAAGAACAAAGUUGUGUGCUAAGUUAGGAAAGUUAGCCGUUUCGGCAUCUGAGGUAAGUUGGUAUGAUAAUAAUACUGCAAUAAUGUUAUUGCCUUGAUAUUAAACGAGAUGUAAGUUCAUAUGUAAGUAAUACAUCAAUUUUACUUGUAUUAUGAUAUUUUAUAAUAAUAUUGUAAAUAUGUUUGUUGAUAAUUACUUGAUUGGUGAAAUUGUUGGAAAAGAGAGAGAAAUCCCGGUUGAACCUUCAGAAAGAUUGAAUGAUACAGAUGGUACGUAGCUAGGUCAUAUGUAUGGUGUUAACUGCACAUCAUGUGUACAAGAAAGCUACGAGACAUUAUAAUGUAGCUAGGUCGCAUGGGUGAUACUAUGUGUACACCAUGUAGACAAGAGAGCUACGAGAUAUAUGUAGCUAG
rnacentral:lncRNA from 1 species